UAUGACUGUGCUGUCUUCAAUGGGCUAGUCUCAUCACAUUUUGGAAGCAAAGAAGGGUCAGGCCUGAUGAGUACUUGGAUGGGAAACCAUUGGAGAAAACCAGAGAGUCCAGGUAA
rnacentral:rRNA from 1 species